GACGAACGCUGGCGGCGCGCUUAACACAUGCAAGUCGAGCGAAGCGGCGGACGGGUGAGUAACCCGUGAGUAACCUGCCUUAGACAUUGGGAUAGCCUCGGGAAACCGGGAUUAAUACCAAAUGGUCUAAGAUGGACUCGCAUCCCAUUAGUUAGUUGGUGAGGUAACGGCACACCAAGGGGACGAUGGUUAGCCGGCGUGAGAGGGUGAACGUCCACAUUGGAACUGAGAAACGGUCCAAACUCUAUGGGAGGCAGCAGUGGGGAAUAUUGCACAAUGGAGGGAACUCUGAUGCAGCUACGCCGCGUGAACGAAGAAGGCUUUCUAGUCGUAAAGUUCUUUUAUAUGGGAAGCGGUACCAUAAGAAAAAGCCCCGGCUAACUACGUGCCAGCAGCCGCGGUAAUUC
rnacentral:rRNA from 1 species